rnacentral:rRNA from 1 species
UAGGGAAUCUUCCGCAAUGGACGAAAGUCUGACGGAGCAACGCCGCGUGAGUGAAGAAGGAUUUCGGUUCGUAAAACUCUGUUGUUAGGGAAGAAAAAAUGUAUAGUAACUAUAUACAAAAGAGACGGUACCUAACCAGAAAGCCACGGCUAACUACGUGCCAGCAGCCGCGGUAAUACGUAGGUGGCAAGCGUUGUCCGGAAUUAUUGGGCGUAAAGCGCGCGCAGGUGGUUUAGAAAGUCUGAUGUGAAAGCCCACGGCUCAACCGUGGAGGGUCAUUGGAAACUAAUAAACUGGAGUGCAGGAGAGAAAAGUGGAAUUCCUAGUGUAGCGGUGAAAGGCGUAGAGAUUAGGAGGAACACCGGUGGCGAAAGCGGCUUUUUGGCCUGCAACUGACACUGAGGCGCGAAAGCGUGGGGAGCAAACAGG